CUCCCGCGGCCGGGAAGCUGCGCGGUGGAGCGGCCGGGAGCGGCAGCGGGACCGGGAGCGGGGCCGGUCCGGAUGGGCUCGGGGAGCGGCGGGGCGGGCGCGGCCCCCGCCCGCCGCCCGGAGCGCAGCCCUGGACAGCCGGACCCCGGCGAGGCUCCCUCGGUGACGGGGCUGUGUGGGCACGGCCUGGCCCUGCUCCAGGGGCUCAGGGCUUGGCCAGGAGCCGAUCCCGAGGGCUCGGCCAUGGCAUAGGCGCUUCUCCAGGCUGAACUCGGCUGCUCCCUGCCCCGGAGCCCCUCGCCUCUGCCAUGAACGAUGCAUCCACCAUGGAUUAUGAACUGCUCUCCCCGUCCCUGGUGGAGCACCCCGCCGGCGCCGCGGGCAUGGACGCCGAGCAGAAAACUGUCUUUGCCUUCGUCAUCUUCCUCCUCGUGUUCCUGGUGAUGCUGAUGGUGCGCUGCUUCCGCAUCCUGCUGGACCCCUACAGCCGCAUGCCCGCCUCCUCCUGGACGGACCACAAGGAGGGCUUGGAGAGGGGCCAGUUCGACUACGCCCUGGUGUGAGCCUGGCACACUCCGGUGUGAUCCUGGCACACUCCAGGUGGGAGCCUGGCACACUCCGGUGUGAGCCUGGCACACUCCGGUGUGAUCCUGGCACACUCCAGGUGGGAGCCUGGCACACUCCGGUGUGAGCCUGGCACGCCCUGGUGAGCCUGGCACGGGGCAAGCCCCAGCUCCGGGUGCCACCCCCGGCCCCCCUUCCCGGGUGCUGCCCCGGGCAGGGGGAGUGGGGGCGAUGCUCUGGCCCCGGAGCGAUGCUCUGGCCCCGGGGCGAUGCUCUGGCCCCGGGGCGAUGCUCUGGCCCCGGGGCGAUGCUCUGGCCCCGGGGCGAUGCUCUGGCCCCGGGGCGAUGCUCUGGCCCCGGCGAGGUUUUCUAGGCGUUUCUCUCUUUUCUAAGCACUUCUCGGUUCUCCUGGCAGCCCGGAGGGGCCGGGACGGGGCAUGGCGGGACCUGCCCUCGGCCCGCGGGGCCCUGGGCCGGGCUCUGCCCGGUGCCAGCCCCGGGCUCCGCGCCCCCCGCGCCCCCCGCGCCCCCCGGGAGCGCUGCCGUGCUGCAGUGCGUGUGUGUGUGUGUGUCCUGUGGCUGAGCUCUGUCCGUGCGGGGUCGGCUCCAGACCCCAGUGCUGGCUUCGUUCCUCGCCUGUGCCGCUCCCCAGCCCCCCAAAAAAGGGAGCGGCGGGGGGAGACCCCCGUGUGCGGCCCCCCCUGGCCUGCAGCCCUGCCCCUUCCCCCGGCCCUGCCCAGACGGGGACACCAGGCUGGGCCCGGGGUCCCAAAAAACCUCGGGAGAGGCUCCUCGGGCAGCUCCCAGUGAGCCCAGUCCCUGCUGGGUGCGAUCCCAGUGAGCCCAGUCCCUGCUGGGUGCGAUCCCAGUGAGCCCAGUCCCUGCUGGGUGCGAUCCCAGUGCCACCAGUCCCCGCUGGGUGGGAUCCCCGGGGGUGUCCGGCCCUUCCCCGGCUCUCCCGGGGCUCUGGAAGUGGCCGAGGGGCGAGCAGAGGAGCCGCCGGUGGCCGCAGGGCUCCCGAAGGUCGCGGGAGGGUUUGCAGGGAGGGAUUUGAGCCCGGGGGCAGAACCUCGGCCCCUCCAUGGAAAUAAAGCCUCACCGUGCCGACCCCA